rnacentral:rRNA from 1 species
AGUGAACGCUGGCGGUAUGCCUAACACAUGCAAGUCGAACGGCAGCACAGUAAGACCUGGCUCUUACGUGUCGCGAGUGGCGGGCGGGUGAGGUAUACAUCGGAAUCUACUUUUUCGUGGGAGAUCACGUAGGGAAACUUACUCUAAUACCGCAUACGCCGUACAGGUAAAAGCAGGGCAUCUGCGGAUCUUGCUCGAUGGAAUGAGCCGAUGUCGGAUUAGCUAGUUGGCGGGGUAAAGGCCCACCAAGGCCACGAUCCGUAGCUGGUCUGAGAGGAUGAUCAGCCACACUGGAACUGAGACACGGCCCAGACUCCUACGGGAGGCAGCAGUGGGGAAUAUUGGACAAUGGGCGCAAGCCUGAUCCAGCCAUACCGCGUGGGUGAAGAAGGCCUUCGGGUUGUAAAGCCCUUUUGUUGGGAAAGAAAAGCAGCAGGUUAAUACACCGCUGUUAUGACGGUACCCACAGAAUAAGCACCGGCUAACUUCGUG